GUUGUCUACUCCUGGAUCCCUUAGCUCAGGACUCCAAACACACAUUCUUCUUAGACCAUAGGGUCAUUCUCAGGGUAUGCUUCAGUUAUAGUUGUCAGGUGCCUCUGCUGUGUACCAACUAUAAUUUAUGUCUGUUUACUCUUGGAGAUACAUUUUCAGUUGGUGGGGUCAGAAGUGAGGAGACAUUAUCUCUCAGGACCCACGGGUCAAAUAGCAAACUCAACCAACCAAGAUAUGAAAAUGGCGCAAUAAAGAGAAGAAAAAGUUAAAGUACUUGACAAAAUGAGAUAUGCUGCCACAAUUUUGAACUUUACUUCUUAUGAGAAGGCCCAGUACUGCAGGUUUAACAGGAAGCAUGGUUGGAGAGGCCUCAGGAAAGUUACAGCUAUGGCAGAAGGGCGAAGAAGAAGCAAGCACCUUCUUCACAUGGAGACGGGAGACAGAGAGAGUGAAGGAGGACAUGCUACACACUUUCAAACAACCAGAUCUCAUGAGAACUCUAUCAUGAGAACAGUAAGGGGGAAGUCCACAUCCAUGACUUAAUUACCUCCCACUAAGCCCCUCCUUCAACAUGUGCGGAUAACAGUUUGACAUAGAAUUUGAGUAGGAACACAGAGAAAUCUAUAUUAUUCCACCCCAUCCCCUCCCAAAUCUCAUGUCCUUCUCACAUUACAAAACACAGUCAUGCCUUCCC